rnacentral:rRNA from 1 species
ACUAGAUCGGCAUCGAACUAGUAUUAAAGGAGCGAAUGCUCCGCUACUGGAUGGACUCGCGGUGCAUUAGCUAGUUGGUGAGGUAGAGGCUCACCAAGGCGAUGAUGCAUAGCCGACCUGAGAGGGUGAACGGCCACAUUGGGACUGAGACACGGGCCCAGACUCCUACGGGGAGGCAGCAGUAGGGAAUUUUCGUCAAUGGGGGAAACCCUGAACGAGCAAUGCCGCGUGAGUGAAGAAGGAUUUCGGUCU